AUUGAACGCUGGCGGCAUGCCUUACACAUGCAAGUCGAACGGCAGCACGGGGGCAACCCUGGUGGCGAGUGGCGAACGGGUGAGUAAUGCAUCGGAACGUGUCCUCUUGUGGGGGAUAACCAGUCGAAAGAUUGGCUAAUACCGCAUGAGAUCGAGAGAUGAAAGCGGGGGACCCGAGGGCAACUUCGGGCCUCGCGCGAGAGGAGCGGCCGAUGCCGGANAGUCUAGUUGGUGGGUAAAGCCUACCAAGGCGACGAUCCGUAGCUGGUCUGAGAGGAC
rnacentral:rRNA from 1 species